rnacentral:rRNA from 1 species
GACGAACGCUGGCGGCGUGGAUUAGGCAUGCAAGUCGAACGGUAUAAACCUUUCGGGGUUUAGAGAGUGGCGAACGGGUGAGUAACACGUAGGUAAUCUACCCUCAAAACGGGGACAACCCAGGGAAACUUGGGCUAAUACCGGAUGCGUGCAAAACAAUGUUUUUGGCUGUUGUAAUUAUUCACGGAAGUGGAUAGUUAUGACGAGUUCAGAGCAUAAUUUGCAUAAAAGGUGGCGUAAGCUGCCGUUUGAGGAUGAGCCUGCGUCCUAUUAGUUAGUUGGUGAGGUAAUGGCUUACCAAGGCGAUGAUAGGUAGGCGGCCUUAACGGGUGGUCGCCCACACUGGGAUUGAGAUACGGCCCAGACUCCUACGGGAGGCAGCAGUUGGGAAUCUUCGGCAAUGGGCGCAAGCCUGACCGAGCAACGCCGCCGUGAGUGAUGAAGGUUUUCGGAUUGUAAAGCUCUGUCUUCCGGGACGAUAAUGACGGUACCGGAGGAGGAAGCCACGGCGUAACUACGUGCCAGCAGCC